rnacentral:rRNA from 1 species
CCUCUUUCAGCAGGGAAGAAGCGAAAGUGACGGUACCUGCAGAAGAAGCGCCGGCUAACUACGUGCCAGCAGCCGCGGUAAUACGUAGGGCGCGAGCGUUGUCCGGAAUUAUUGGGCGUAAAGAGCUCGUAGGCGGCUUGUCGCGUCGGUUGUGAAAGCCCGGGGCUUAACCCCGGGUCUGCAGUCGAUACGGGCAGGCUAGAGUUCGGUAGGGGAGAUCGGAAUUCCUGGUGUAGCGGUGAAAUGCGCAGAUAUCAGGAGGAACACCGGUGGCGAAGGCGGAUCUCUGGGCCGAUACUGACGCUGAGGAGCGAAAGCGUGGGGAGCGAACAGGAUUAGAUACCCUGGUAGUCCACGCCGUAAACGGUGGGCACUAGGUGUGGGCGACAUUCCACGUCGUCCGUGCCGCAGCUAACGCAUUAAGUGCCCCGCCUGGGGAGUACGGCCGCAAGGCUAAAACUCAAAGGAAUUGACGGGGGCCCGCACAAGCGGCGGAGCAUGUGGCUUAAUUCGACGCAACGCGAAGAACCUUACCAAGGCUUGACAUACACCGGAAAGCAUCAGAGAUGGUGCCCCCCUUGUGGUCGGUGUACAGGUGGUGCAUGGCUGUCGUCAGCUCG